rnacentral:rRNA from 1 species
UACGUAGGGGGCAAGCGUUGUCCGGAUUUAUUGGGCGUAAGGCGCGUGUAGGCGGCCAUACAGGUCCGUUGUGAAAACUCGAGGCUUAACCUCGAGACGUCGAUGGAAACCGUAUGGCUAGAGUCCGGAAGAGGAGAGUGGAAUUCCUGGUGUAGCGGUGAAAUGCGCAGAUAUCAGGAAGAACACCCGUGGCGAAGGCGGCUCUCUGGGACGGUACUGACGCUGAGACGCGAAAGCGUGGGGAGCGAACAGG